GAUGAACGCUGGCGGCGUGCCUAACACAUGCAAGUCGAACGGGAACUCCAAGAUGAGACUUCGGUGGAUUUUUGGAAAUUCUAGUGGCGGACGGGUGAGUAACGCGUGGGUAACCUGCCCUUAAGAGGUGAAUAACAACGAGAAAUCGGUGCUAAUACACCAUAUGCUUACAAGUGUCGCAUGACAUAGUGAGGAAAGAAUUUCGCUUAAGGAUGGACCCGCGUUUGAUUAGCCAGUUGGCAGGGUAACGGCCUACCAAAGCAACGAUCAAUAGCCGGCCUGAGAGGGUGAACGGCCACAUUGGAACUGAGACACGGUCCAAACUCC
rnacentral:rRNA from 1 species